UGUCACACUUGCUCAUUAAGAUGACACCAACUUUUCCAGUGGGUUCUUCUUUCUUCUCAGGUGACUGAGGUUGGACAAGCGAAGGAGUCGUUGCUGUAGGCUGGUCUAAGGAUCACACAAACACAGCAUGGUUUGUGUAUGGCUAGAAGAAAGGAGAGAGAUACAGACUUCGGUCUGCAGUGCUUCUGGAGGGAUUGCUUCUCCUGAAGACUUCGGUAGCUUUCUCCAUGGACCAGCAAGCCCUUCUUUUGUAGAUUUUUUACUAUUUAAGAUCCAGAAAGCUGCUUGUUUUCUUCCCAUACAGAUGUUCUAUGAGUUCUAUGUCAUAGACAUUGUUCAGGCAAACAAAAUAUGCUCGAAGGAAUUUUAGAGCUUAAGGUUCAAUACGGGCUGUUCUUGCAGAAGACGCUUGUGUCCAGGGUCACAGCCCUGUGGAUGCAGCUGCUCCAGGGGCUGUCAUCCUUUCCUGGGUGGUAGAAGAACCAUCAUAGUGACACUUUGACUCACCAUCUCUCCACCAUCCAGAAGUCAGGACAGAGGCACAGCCCAGGCUCUGUUCUCUGCUGACUCCCACUCUGUGUCUGAGUGGUCCCCCAGACCGGGGGAGUCCAAAGUCCUGAAAAGUAAAGACUUCUACCCACCAGUCAUCUCAGAACAACUCCACAGAGAUGCAAAUAUGACACUGGCGUCUUGGUGCCGUGUGAGAACCGGAACCCGUGACUUAGAGAAGACUGUUCUGGGUCUGGAGCAGUUUCCUCAUUUUAAAUCAAGCAUGAGUUCAACAAAUCGUGUUAGGACACUGUGCCCUGAGACUUUAAUUAGAGGCUUUCAUGUUAAUCUCCUUCCUCAGGCGUUUUGUGAUACAGCCUCGCCCUGCCGAAUCAAUCUUACUUUCCACUCGGGCACAGCUUGCUUUCCCUGGGCAUCUCUCCGGGUGGGUGGGAAGCACAGGACUUACAGGCAGCUGAGCCUCGCUUACCUGCCACGUCGCCUUUCUUCCUUAUUCUGCCUGUUUCUAUAACAUCUGAAGAGCUGUUCUGCCGUCAGUGUUUGGUCUCUGGAUGAGCUUGUGAGAUCAUCCUCUUUAAGCAGCCAGGAAAACAAUGAAUUCACUGUCAUCCUUUGCCUUUUUCUCGGAGGCGUCUGAAUGUUGCCAACAUCGAAAUGGUCUUCUGAAGGAUUUGAACCAACAAGAGUUUAAUGAAGUAAGAUAAGCAUCUCCAGGUCAAUAAUUUUUCUAGAAAUCUGCCUUACAAGAAACGGAGCCCUCCCUUUCACUAUGACAACAUAAAGCCAAAUUACGGGACAGAACUCAAAUAGAGAGCAAUAUCAUACAGAGAUAGAGGCCGACAUCACACUGAAUGAAAGGCUUGAUGUUACAGGGUUGUUACGGUGCCCGGAUUGAUCUUGGGAGACAGGGUUGAGCGAGGUGUUUAUGGAUAGAUUGACUGGCCAGUGAACCCAGGGAGCUCCUGUCUGCCUCUCAACACUGAGAUUACAGGUUAGGAGAGAGAGAAGUCAAAGAUGGAGGCACCAAUGGGUGAGCAAUCGAUCAAAUGCACUUGAAUGAAGUAGAGAUGAGUUUGCCAGGCAGGUGGAGAAAGAGAAUCCCAACAGAAUGGACGGAAGCUGUCCAACUCCCACUUUCAAAGGAUCCUGCCAGCUCCAUCAAAUAGGACUUCAGCCUGCUACAGGCAGGACCACUGUACAGCACAAGUCUGUGUUCUGACAGUGCUCUUGUUCUUUAGCAAAAGGAUUUGUUUGUCAGCUCUCCUUGCAAUGAAAAAUAAACCAACUAAACAGCCUUG